rnacentral:rRNA from 1 species
CGUGCAGGCGGCUUUGUAAGUUGUGCGUGAAAGCGCUCAGGCUCAACCGGGCGAGGACGUGCAAAACUGCGGAGCUAGAGAGAGGUAGAGGCGUGUGGAAUUCCGGGUGUAGUGGUGAAAUGCGUAGAGAUCCGGAGGAACACCAGUGGCGAAGGCGACACGCUGGGCCUUAUCUGACGCUAAGACGCGAAAGCAUGGGGAGCGAACG